rnacentral:lncRNA from 1 species
GAGAAAGAGGGACAGAGGCCAGUGUUGCUGCCAGCACCCUUGACCAUCAUUCAAGGCACCAAAGGGUGCCACAGCACCCUAGUUGAAAACCACUGCCCACCCAACAAGCAUCAUCCAUGCAUCACAGAAAGAGGCCAUCUUGUCUCCUGGCUUGUCUCUUGUCAUGAUACCUGACAAUGCUUGCUGGUUGCCCUUUCCUGGCCAGUCUGAGCCGUUCCCUUGAAAUGGUAAAUACCUCAGUUCUUGAAUCUAUUGUCACAGAUCUUCCUCUAUUUAUAUAUUUUCGUGGGAGCCGAAAAUAUAUAAAUGUUUUCUCUGCAAGGUCAAAGGAAAAUGGAAAAUCCUCCCCGUUGUCUUUUCCUUCACAAAUCCUGUCUUAAGGGCACAUUUAAGAUAUGAAUAAGGUAUGAGCCUGUGGCAUGGCCCAGGAACUAAGUAUUUAUCACUACAAUUUAUCACUAUCCUAGGCCCUUCACGGGCCUAGGACCCUCAUACCUACGGGAGCACCUCUCCUGGUAUGUCCCACGGAGAGCCUCAAGGUCCAUAAACAGCAACACCCUAGAGGUCCCGGGGCCUAAGGAACUUAGAUUAGCUUCAACCAGAACCAAGGCCUUUUCAACUCUGGCUCCGGCCUGGUGGAACGCUCUGCCUCAUGAGACCAGGGCCCUGCAGGAUCUGAUUUCUUUCCGCAGGGCCUGUAAGACAGAGUUGGUCUGCCUGGCCUUUGGCUUGGAGCCAAUUUGAUUCCUUCCCUCCCUCUCUUUCUUUUUUCUUUUCCUUUCUCCUCCUGUGAUGAGGCUACAUUUUAAUAUUUAAAUGCUUCAAUAUUUUAAUGUUGUAUUUUAAUUUUGUUUUUAAGUUGUAUUCAUUCAACUUACUUUUAUUAUUGCUUGUUAGCCGCCCUGAGCCCAGCCUUGGCUGGGGAGGGCGGGGUAAAAAUAAAAAAUAUUAUUAUUAUUACAAAAGAAUGGCCAGGCUCCCCAGGCAAUCCAAUCAAGUAACCUGCCAGACAGGAGAUAAACAAGGACAGGAGAAAAACAACAUUCAAAUUUCUGUUUAGACCGCCUUUUCUGUGAUGUGUUUCUGGGGGUGGUCUUGAUCUAUAGGGUGACAAUUUCAAAAGUCUUUAUAAGGCCUUGCACACCAUUUUUCUGGGUCCCUCCUCCUCCUCCUGCAUGUGAGGGGAGCACCCUGUUGCAACAGAUCAAUAAAGAUCCAGCUUACUAGCUGCUUUGCUUCUCAAUAUUCUCUGGUUGGCCUCUGUUAUUUUCUUUUUUUAAAUAAUUUUUAUUAAAAUUUCAUUAAAAGUUAAACAGAAGAACAUAAAAGUAAAAGUACAAAAACACACAAUACAUAAUCCAAAAAGAAAAGGAAAACACAGAAAACAAAAUACAAAAAAAACCUAAAAAAAAACAGAACAAUUAAAAACAAUAUCACUUUUCCAUUUCCGUUUUUAAAUUUACUUAUUUUCUGGACUUCCUCAUACCUCCCUCUUUUGUAUUCCAGUCCAAAUUGUUUGUCCAGCAAUUUCUUUUCCACUUUUUUAAUCCCAAUCUUUAAUCUUAAUAUAAUAUAUAACACUUAAACUUCUUUAAUCCUAAUCUUUAAUCUUAAUGUAAUAUAACAUUAAAAUUUUACCUCUUAAGUACCAAAUUUCCAUUUCCUUAAACAUCUUUAAUCCUAAUCUUUAAUCUUAGUCUCUCAAUAACUUUAACCUGUACAGCUGGAAACCACUUAUUUAUGAUCCAAGGCCUCUGUUAUUUUCUCCUACCAAUAGGGAACCUAUGUAAGGACUCUAUAUGGGCUCUUGGAUACCCCAUAAGGGAAGAGGGCAAUUUUUGUUUACAACACCCGCUUGCCACAUUUUCUUAUCUCCUUUUUCUCCUGCCGUCUCCUUUUCCUAUUCUCAGUAUUUUCACUCAUAUUUCCCACCCUUCAGUCAUUUUCGUUUGGCUUGAAAAACAAGGGAGUUGCCUGCCUCAGAUGGUGGUAUCUUUCCAUCUGUCUUUUCUCUUGGCCUCAUUUCUUCUUCACUGUCUUUUCUUUCUUAUUCCACAUCCAGGGCCAGAUUUAGGUUUGAUGAGGCCCUAACCUACUGAAGGUAAUGGGGCCCUUAUAUGUCCAGCUGUCCUUUAUCAACAACGAAUUGUCGCUGUUUUUGGUGUUGAAUAUAUGCUAGAUGGUAAUUUAUGGACCGAAUAGGCAUCUAAAGCCAUUUGCACAUAACAAAAUAUGUAUUUUAUCAAAGUGUUAUGAGGAUUAUAAGGUCUAAGAUAUAAAAUAAAUGUUCAUAAAUGUACCAGACGCAGGCACAUGCGUGCGCGCACUCACACAAACACACAAAAUGUCUGAAGCAGUAUAGGAAAACAGUCCUAAAGCCAUUUUCACUCUUUCAGUGACCUCAGAUAUUGUCUCUGUGCUCACAAAUCCUGCCUUAAGGGUACAUUUGGGUAUGAAUAGGGUGAGCCUGUGAGGAAUUACCAUAAGUAUUUAUCAUCACAAAAGAAUAGCCAGGCUCUCCAGGUAAACCCAUCAACAGGUUUCCUGCCAGACAAGAUUUUGUUGUAGACCGCCCCUUCUGCUGUGAUGUAUGUAUGAUGUAUUGGGGGGGGGGGUUUGAGGUACAGGGUGGAAAUUUCAAAAGUCUAUAUAAGAGUUUGCACGCCUUUCUUCUGGGUCUCUCCUGCCUUCUGUGUGUGGCUGUGAGCAACCUGUUGGAACAGUUAAUAAAGAUCAAGCUUACUAGCUGCUUUGCUUCUCAAUAUUCUCUGGUUGGCCUCUGUUAUUUUCUGCUUCCGAUAGCGGACCUACUUAAGGACUCCAUAUGGGAUUAACAUAUUCAGCUAAGCAAAAGUGAUUAAUACUUCUGAUUUUUGCAAGGGACAUGCACCCUAGAGAAAAACCAAUCCUUCACCAUUCAAAAAUUAUAAAAUAUUCCCUGGAAAAAAAGACACACUUUCUUUGAGUUCACAGAGCAAUCCUGAAGCUAUCUUGACCGUCUUAAUGACCCCAGAUAUUUACUCUGCAGGUGAAGGAAAAACCUUUCCCAAUAGUUAGUUCUUUUCACUUACAAAUCCUUCCAAAGCUAUCUCUCAUAUAACAAUAAUAAUAAUAAUAAUAAUUUUUAUUUAUACCCCGCCCUCCCCAGCCAAGGCCAGGCUCAGAGCGGCUUACAAGCAAUAAUAAAAACAAGUUGAAUGACUACAACUUAAGAACAAAAUUAAAAUACAACAUUAAAAUAUUGAAGCAUUAAAAUAUUAAAAAGUAGCCUCAUUGCAGGACGAGAAGGAAAAGAUAAAAGAAAGAGGGAGGGAAUUAAAUUGGCUCCAAGCCAAAGGUCAGGUGAAACAACUCUGUCUUACAGGCCCUGCGGAAAGAAAUCAGAUCCUGCAGGGCCCUGGUCUCAUGAGGCAGAGCAUUCCACCAGGCCGGAGGCAGUGUUGAGAAGGCCCUGGUUCUGGUUGAAGCUAAUCUAACUUCCUUAGGGCCCGGGACCUCUAGGGUGUUGCUAUUUAUGGACCUUGAGGCUCUCCGUGGGGCAUACCAGGAGAGGUGGUCCCGUAGGUACGAGGGUCCUAGGCCCGUGAAGGGCCUAGGAUAGUGAUAAAUUGUAGUGAUAAAUACUUAGUUCCUGGGCCAUGCCACAGGCUCACACCUUAUUCAUAUCUUAAAUGUGCCCUUAAGAAUGGAUUUGUGAAGGAAAAGACAACGGGGAGGAUUUUCCAUUUUCCUUUGACCUUGCAGAGAAAACAUUUGGUCGGUUUGGGACAGUUUGGGAAUCAAAAUGGUUCCAGGUCGGUCUUCCUGUGCUGAUCUAUGUACGUGCUUGGUUGGUACACUUAUGAACAUUACCAUAUGUCUAAGACCAUAAAAUUCCUACCACACGAGAGAGAAACCUACUCAAGGAAAGUCACUGGAAGUGGUGGAGGAAGAAGGGGGAAAUAGAGAGAAAAGAAAAAUGGUUUUGUGGAAGAGAAAGCAAUGAAAAGAAAAGGAGAGCAAGAGGGAACAGAUGGAAACAAAAUCACACCAUCUAACUGCUAGGUCAGUUGGAAUAUGUCUCCAUUGGCAGCUGCAGCAACAUGUUCUUCCCGAAGCAACACAGAAUCUUGUGUGCACCUUCAUUUUUUUUUUAAAUGAUAUUUAUUGGAGUUUCACAUGAAAAGAACAUCUUAAUAAAGAAAAAAAAAUUAAAAAUAGAAAGAAAAAAACACCAUACAAAAUACGAAAUACAAAAUACAAAAAGAAAAAAGAAAAAACAGUUAAAAACAAUUCCAUCUUUUCAUCACAACUUUUACAUUUACUUAUUUCCCGGACCUCCUCAUACCUCCCUCUUUUGUAUUCCAGUUCAAUUUGUUUGUCCAGCAAUUCCUUUCCUUCCUUUUUAAUCCCAUCCUUAAUCUUAAUAUAAUAUAACAUUAAAUUUUAAUCUAUUAAAAACCAAUUUUCCAUUUCUUUUGACUUUUUUAGUCCUAAUCCUUAAUCUUAAUCUAUAUAUAACUUUAAAGCCUGUACAGCUAGAAGCCACUUAAUUUCAAUCCAACAUCACUCUAACAUUCUUUAAUUUUGCAAUAUUUCUGUAAAUAGUCUUUAAAUUUCUUCCAAUCUUCUUCCACCGACUCUUCUCCCUGGUCACGGAUUCUACCAGUCAUUUCCGCCAAUUCCAUAUAGUCCAUCAAUUUCAUCUGCCAUUCCUCCAGUGUGGGUAACUCUUGUGUCUUCCAGUACUUUGCGAUAAGUAUUCUUGCUGCUGUUGUGGCAUACAUAAAGAAAGUUCUAUCCUUUUUUAACACCCAUUGGCCGACUAUGCCCAGGAGAAAGGCCUCUGGUUUCUUCAAGAAGGUAUAUUUAAAUACCUUUUUGAAUUCCUGAUAUCUCAUCUCCCCCAAAGCCUUAAUCUUUGGGCACUCCCACCAAAGGUGAAAAAUGUACCUUCAAUUUCCUUACAUUUCCAACAUUUAUUAUCAGGCAAAUGGUAGAUUUUUGCAAGCUUGACUGGGGUUAUGUACCACCUGUAUAUCAUUUUCAUAAUAUUCUCUCUUAGGGCAUUACAUGCCGUAAAUUUCAUACCUGUGGUCCAUAACUGUUCCCAGUCAGCGAACAUAAUGUUGUGUCCAACGUCUUGUGCCCAUUUAAUCAUAGCAGAUUUCACCGUUUCAUCCUGAGUGUUCCAUUUCAGCAGCAAGUUAUACAUUCUUGACAAAUUCUUAGUUUUGGGUUCUAACAGUUCUGUUUCUAAUUUUGAUUUUUCCACCUGGAAGCCAAUUUUCUUGUCCAAAUUGAAUGCCUCCAUUAUCUGAAAAUAAUGAAGCCAGUCUCGCACUUUGUUUUUUAAUCUUGUGUGCACCUUCAAAGACCAUUAAAUGCAUUGUGGCUUGAGCUUUCACGGACUAGAGUUGUGGUUUUAGCUGCAAGAGAUAUGGAUAGGAAAACAGGAAGCUGCGUUGUGAAGGCAUGGUGCCCAUGUGAGCCUGAAGGCGUGGCACCACCCUCAGCCAACAGCCCAGCAGUGUCUGUCAGCGCUCUUGUUUCCCAUUUGGCUGGCUUUGCUUAGACCCAUCUUGCAUUCGUUUCAAAACUGCCAGCCUCAGGCGUGGGAUCGUCCAGAAAGCAGGUGCGAGUUGGCACAUGGCGAUGCCAGGAGCCAGUUCAAGAUUCCUGAGGCGUUCGGUUAGAUUGCCCGAGACAGGAUGUUUGCAUCGCUCCAUCCGUCUCCCGUCAUUCCCAUGGCAACUGAGCGAUGUGCAGACAGCGUCUGCAAAAGCCGGCAUGAAGGAGGGCAAAAGUUAAGCCGCCCGUUUGGAAAAAACACACACUUAUACCAGGAUGGGACUCUUUUGCAAUAAGCUUGCCAGCCUCUCCUUUUGUUCCCUUGUCAGAUCACGCAAAAGCAAUCCCCGGCUUGAUUUGGUCACCGGGGGCUGGGGUGGUCCAUUUAAACCCUGCUUCUCACAGCUGUUGCCAUUUCACACACUCCUGCCUUUUCCUCUGCUAUAGCCUGGCAUGCAGGGGCUCCCGAAAGAGACCAAGAUGAGCAAACCAGCCCAUCGAGGAGGCUUGCAGGCGUGGGGGAAAUGGCUGCUUCUCCUGAACGCUGCUGUCCCUGCAGUCUCCACCAUGCAGACAG